rnacentral:rRNA from 1 species
UGCAAGUCGAACGAACUCUUCGGAGUUAGUGGCAGACGGGUGAGUAACGCGUGGGAACCUACCUUUAGGUACGGAACAACAGUUGGAAACGACUGCUAAUACCGUAUGUGCCCUAUGGGGGAAAGAUUUAUCGCCUAAGGAUGGGCCCGCGUUGGAUUAGCUAGUUGGUGGGGUAAAGGCCUACCAAGGCGACGAUCCAUAGCUGGUCUGAGAGGAUGAUCAGCCACACUGGGACUGAGACACGGCCCAGACUCCUACGGGAGGCAGCAGUGGGGAAUAUUGGACAAUGGGCGCAAGCCUGAUCCAGCCAUGCCGCGUGAGUGAUGAAGGCCCUAGGGUUGUAAAGCUCUUUCAGCGAGGAGGAUAAUGACGUUACUCGCAGAAGAAGCCCCGGCUAACUUCGUGCCAGCAGCCGCGGUAAUACGAAGGGGGCUAGCGUUGUUCGGAAUCACUGGGCGUAAAGCGCACGUAGGCGGACUUUUAAGUCAGGGGUGAAAUCCCGGGGCUCAACCCCGGAACUGCCUUUGAUACUGGAAGUCUUGAGUCCGAGAGAGGUGAGUGGAACUCCGAGUGUAGAGGUGAAAUUCGUAGAUAUUC